AAUGAACGCCGGCGGCAGGCCUAACACAUGCAAGUCGAACGAGGUAGCAAUACCUAGUGGCGGACGGGUGAGUAACGCGUGGGAACGUGCCCCUUGGUGCGGAAUAGCCCUGGGAAACUGGGAGUAAUACCGUAUGUGGUCGAGAGACGAAAGAUUUAUCGCCAAGGGAUCGGCCCGCGUUGGAUUAGGUAGUUGGUGGGGUAAUGGCCUACCAAGCCGACGAUCCAUAGCUGGUUUGAGAGGAUGAUCAGCCACACUGGGACUGAGACACGGCCCAGACUCCUACGGGAGGCAGCAGUGGGGAAUCUUAGACAAUGGGGGAAACCCUGAUCUAGCCAUGCCGCGUGAUCGAUGAAGGCCUUAGGGUUGUAAAGAUCUUUCAGUGGGGAAGAUAAUGACGGUACCCACAGAAGAAGCCCCGGCUAACUCCGUGCCAGCCGCCGCCGUAA
rnacentral:rRNA from 1 species